rnacentral:rRNA from 1 species
CCUACGGGAGGCAGCAGUGAGGAAUAUUGGUCAAUGGACGCAAGCCUGAACCAGCCAUGUCGCGUGCAGGAAGACGGCUCUACGAGUCGUAAACCGCUUUUGCACGGGGGUAAAAGCAUCCACGUGUAGCUGUCUGCAAGUACCGUACGAAUAAGGACCGGCUAAUUCCGUGCCAGCAGCCGCGGUAAUACGGAAGACCCGAGCGUUAUCCGGAUUCAUUGGGCUUAAAGGGAGCGUAGGCGGGCGUUCAAGUCAGCUGUAAAAUCGCGCGGCUCAACCGCGCACCGCAGUUGAAACUGGACGCCUUGAGUUCACAACAGGCAGGCGGAAUUCGUGGUGUAGCGGUGAAAUGCAUAGAGAUCACGAGGAACCCCGAUUGCGAAGGCAGCCUGCCGGGGUGCGACUGACGCUGAGGCUCGAAGGUGCGGGUAGCAAACAGGAUUAGAUACCCGAGUAGUC